UGUUCCUUUUUCUUUUAACCCUCUAGGAAAAGUAAGCAUGAUGUAUAGGAAAAUGCAUGAGCAGGGGGCCAGGGCCUCAGGGACAGGGCUGGGUAGAGCAGCGGGAUUAGGCAAUUGAGGGAUGGCCGUUUUUAAGGUCCAUGGCAGACCGUCACCACCUGUAUAUUUGUUUUCCUUGAAAGACUAGAUUUUUAAUUAAAGAAAAACUUGUGUUUUUUUAAAAAAAAACCUUAUGAAGUUUUAGGUCACUUCCAAUUUCUUUCCUUCCUUAUACCCUUUCAGCGAACCCAGGACUCUUGGCCUUGCUGACUCUCCCCUUCAGUGCUGUGUUCUGAGAUCAGCAGAGGAAGAAUAUCUGCUCUCAGCAACUGGGGGGCCACAUCCCUGAUUCCGUUACCAGGGAAACCAGUUUCAGAUGGGUGCAAAGCAGGAUCAGAAAGGCCGCUGACAGCCAGCAACUGACAGUAAACUCAACCUUCUCUCUAGGUGGCAGGCAUCCUUUUGAUAUCUGCAAAUGCCAAUUUGUACAAUCCUGUGACAUAUCGUCGGGCUGGAAAGACUCUUAUUUGAAGAGUGAAUAAAAUGGAAUCUACCCAGCCGAGAUGUGUGUCCUUCUAUGUUUUAUUAAACAAUCAUUCAGGAA